CAUUAGCGUAUACUAAAGUUGCUGCGGUUAAAAAGCUCGUAGUUGGAUUUUGGAAGUACACCCGUGGGGUGCAUGGAGGGAGAGGGUAAGGGAAGGUGGGCGCUACUAGUUGGUGUCGUGCUUCCUUCCUCUUCCUUGCUUUCGCUAUCAUUGAUAGCAGUGUCAGUUUGCGUUUCUGUGGUUUUAAUUAAUUGCGGAUUUAUCGCGCUGUCGAAUUUACUUUGAAAAAAGAGGAGCGUUCAAAGCAGGCCUUUUUGUUGCGGCCGUUGAACAUUUUAGCAUGGGAUAAUGGAAGAGGACUUUUUGUCCAUUUUGUUGGUUUUCAGACAAGAAGUAAUGAUUGAGAGGGACAGUUGGGGAUCUUCGUAUUCAGUUGUCAGAGGUGAAAUUCUUGGAUUAUCGGAGGACGAACUUCUGCGAAAGCAUUGAUCAAGGAUGUUUUCAUUAA
rnacentral:rRNA from 1 species